CCUACGGGAGGCAGCAGUGAGGAAUAUUGGUCAAUGGACGAGAGUCUGAACCAGCCAAGUAGCGUGCAGGAUGACGGCCCUAUGGGUUGUAAACUGCUUUUAUGCGGGGAUAAAGUGCACCACGUGUGGUGUUUUGUAGGUACCGCAUGAAUAAGGACCGGCUAAUUCCGUGCCAGCAGCCGCGGUAAU
rnacentral:rRNA from 1 species